UCCCUGGUGGCUCAGAUGGUAAAGCGUCUGCCUGCAAUGCAGGAGACCUGGGUUUGAUUCCUGGGUCGGGAA
rnacentral:tRNA from 1 species